rnacentral:lncRNA from 1 species
CUAAUGAAAAUAUAUUGUAUAAACAUAGGAAAAUAAUCUACAUCAACGCUACCAGAAAUGCAUGAAGCAUUUUACAUGAGAAGACAGAUAUGGUCUGCAUCUGAUUGAUGGAAUCAUAAGAAGGGAAUUCAGAAGGAGCUAAAAACGUAAGUAGGCCAACAAAGAGGCACAGACAAUGACCAAAUAAAAAAGAAGAAAGUGUAAGUUAUCUUUCAUUCUUUCUAACAACUAUUGUGUUGAUGAUUUUGUUGCUUUUGUAGUAGUAACAAGGGUUUUGUCAUCACCAGUACAGACACACAUUGGUUGAUAGCACGACCUAACCU